rnacentral:rRNA from 1 species
AUUGAACGCUGGCGGCAUGCCUCACACAUGCAAGUCGAACGGUAACAGGUCUUCGGAUGCUGACGAGUGGCGAACGGGUAGGUAAUACAUCGGAACGUGCCCGAGAGUGGGGGAUAACGAGGCGAAAGCUUUGCUAAUACCGCAUACGAUCUCAGGAUGAAAGCAGGUGACCGCAAGGCCUUGCGCUCACGGAGCGGCCGAUGACAGAUUAGGUAGUUGGUGGGAUAAAAGCUUACCAAGCCGACGAUCUGUAGCUGGUCUGAGAGGACGACCAGCCACACUGGGACUGAGACACGGCCCAGACUCCUACGGGAGGCAGCAGUGGGGAAUUUUGGACAAUGGGCGCAAGCCUGAUCCAGCCAUGCCGCGUGCAGGAUGAAGGCCUUCGGGUUGUAAACUGCUUUCGUACGGAACGAAAAGACUCUGGUUAAUACCUGGGGUCCAUGACGGUACCGUAAGAAUAAGCACCGGCUAACUACGUGCCAGCAGCCGCCGUAAAAC